rnacentral:rRNA from 1 species
AUGACUAUGAUGAAGGAGGUCCAUGCCACUCUGCCGCCUUUCAGUGUAGACAAGGAUGGUUUGCGGCUUGCUGAGCGAGAGAAGCAGCAGCAGUUGGUAGCCAGCGCUCAACAGGGGUUGAUCCAAGCAAAUGCCGGUCUUGAGGAGAAAAAUGGAGAUGGUGAUUCUAGUUGUUUAGGUGUGGGUGUGCAUCAGAAAAAAUGCCAGAGGGGGAGACGAACAACAAGUCGAGACAAGGCUCCUUAUGAAAAGCAUUUGAAGAGGUCUAGGUUCUGUACAAUUUGCAGAGUGCAAGGGCACAAAUGCACGACCUGCCCUCACAGAGGUGAUUUGCCGAAGGCUCCAAGAAAAUUGCCGAAGUGUACCAAUUGUGGGGUGGUUGGACAUCGACGGAAUGCGUUGGGCACUAAAAAAACUGGACCGUUCGGGCCUAACUUUUUAUAA